UUGUGGGACUCAACUUGGACUUGGACUAAAGCGACUCGGCUACAACACCAGAGUGGUCUGUGCUUAUUUUCUGUCAUGCAGCUGAAUGUCUGCAUUAAGUUUUUGUUCUUCUUCCCCAUCAGAACUGCGAGCACUUUAGCGAACAUCCCCCGCUCGGUGUCAGACGGUUUGUGGUGUCAGAGAGUUCUUCAACCCCGGCAGAACAUUCUGGUUUAUUUUAGACACUGUUGGUCUAAAAAUUUACAAAACCUCUUACUGAAGUGUGAGCAGGAUGCUUCUAAUGUCUGGUUUGUUAAGUUUCUUUACAGUUCCCGGUCUUCUUCCCCUCCAGCAGGGCAGCGGUGGACCAAUGCCAGAGCUCCGUCUGCUAAGGAGAUGUGUGUGUGUUGAGGAGGAGUGCUAACGAGGCUCAGCCAGCGAGGAGGUGAAGCUGCUGCGGGGUGACCUUUGACCUCCAAGAGGCGCUCGCUCUCAGACUGGGUUGCCUCUGGCGGGGUCAUGGCGCCCCACUCUCACCGCGAGGCAGUGGUUGAGGUCAGAGCGAGGAACCCCGAGCCUCCGUCCUGCUGUUUCCAACAUCGACGCCGACCAAUCGACCGGCCGCAGGAGGACGGAGGAGGAGGAGGAGGAGGAGGUCUCCCUUGGCCUCCCUUUGUCCUCAGCCUCAGAGAACGUCUCUCCUUCAUCUCUCCAUGUAUGGUUCCUGGAUCAGUAUUUUUUGGAGUUUUGCUUGAUUUGUCCAUAUAUUCCUUGUCCUGGUAGCUGUUUUCCUGUUGAAGACCCAUUACGGCUAAAGUGUUGCUAACUUACUUUUAUUUCAGACAAACACGAUUACCAUAUUAGGCAAGCUAGAACUUAUAUUGCUAAAACUGCAAACACUGAAAAAUACUGUAACGUAUAGAGCCAUGCAUGAACUCUUUGCCUCUGCAUGUCAUUUAGGAAAGGGGAAAAUAUCUUUAUUUAAAUUUCUCUUCAAACAGCAUCUACUGGCUCAGUUUAUACUUUUAGAUGUGUAAUGCUAAAUUGUAAUAUUACAGUUGAACAACUGGAAUAACUGUUAAGUUGAAUUUAUUUAAGGUGUUGAUUAGUGACAUAUGAUACUUAGAAAUGUUUUAUUGUUUUGUUUUUCAAUUUGUCUGGUUUCGUGUGUUGGAAUAUGAUUUUAUCUGUUAAUGUGGUGUGAGAUUGGCUCCCAGAAAGAAUAGCCUCUGCUUGAUGAUGCUAAAGGGGAUCCUAAUAAAAUAAAUGAAAUGUU